rnacentral:rRNA from 1 species
CGCGGCCUAUCAGCUUGUUGGUGGGGUAAUGGCCUACCAAGGCGACGACGGGUAGCCGACCUGAGAGGGUGACCGGCCACACUGGGACUGAGACACGGCCCAGACUCCUACGGGAGGCAGCAGUGGGGAAUAUUGCACAAUGGGCGAAAGCCUGAUGCAGCGACGCCGCGUGAGGGAUGACGGCCUUCGGGUUGUAAACCUCUUUCAGCAGGGACGAAGCGCAAGUGACGGUACCUGCAGAAGAAGCACCGGCUAACUACGUGCCAGCAGCCGCGGUAAUACGUAGGGUGCAAGCGUUGUCCGGAAUUACUGGGCGUAAAGAGUUCGUAGGCGGUUUGCCGCGUCGUUUGUGAAAACCAGCAGCUCAACUGCUGGCUUGCAGGCGAUACGGGCAGACUUGAGUACUGCAGGGGAGACUGGAAUUCCUGGUGUAGCGGUGAAAUGCGCAGAUAUCAGGAGGAACACCGGUGGCGAAGGCGGGUCUCUGGGCAGUAACUGACGCUGAGGAACGAAAGCGUGGGUAGCGAACAGGAUUAGAUACCCUGGUAGUCCACGCCGUAAACGGUGGGCGCUAGGUGUGGGUUCCUUCCACGGAAUCCGUGCCGUAGCUAACGCAUUAAGCGCCCCGCCUGGGGAGUACGG